rnacentral:tRNA from 1 species
GGCUUCGUGGUGUAGCGGUCAGCACUCUCAGACCGCGUUCGAGAGGGCCGUGGUUCGAAUCCCGGCGACGCCA